GAUUAACGCUGGCGGCAUGCCUAAGACAUGCAAGUCGAACGAAGUGACCCAUUGAAGUUGGAGUGCUUGCACAAAGAUGGAUUUGGAUUUCACUUAGUGGCGGACGGGUGAGUAACACGUGGGUUAUCUGCCUUUAAGUUUGGGAUAACACAGGGAAACUUGUGCUAAUACCGAAUAUGAGAUGGAAAUGAUAUUUUUAUUUGAAAGGUGCCUUUAAAGCACUCCUUAAAGAUGAGCCUGCGGCGUAUUAGUUAGUUGGUAGGGUAAUGGCCUACCAAGACAAUGAUGCGUAGCCGAACUGAGAGGUUAAACGGCCACAUUGGGACUGAGACACGGGCCCAAAACUCCUACGGGAGACAGCAGUUAGGAAUAUUCGUCAAUGGGGGAAACCCUGAACGAGCAAUGCCGCGUGAGUGAUGACGGUCUUUAUGAUUGUAAAACUCUGUUGUAUGGGAAGAACACUAAAUAUAGGAAAUGAUAUUUAGCUGACGGUACCAUGCCAGAAAGCCCCG
rnacentral:rRNA from 1 species